UUGUUCUGUUGCUACUUCACAAUGGUUGGCAACGCGAGCUAAAAAGCUCAAGGCAACGAAAAGGUAAACCAUUGAUUACCUUGUUUUUUAUUCGGUUGCUGAAGGCGAUUGUCUGAAAAUAGCCUGAAAUAUCCAUUCAUAGCUUGCCUUCAACAUAAUGUUAGAAUAUUAUCAUAUUUACUGUAUCUUGAGGGCUUUUAAAAAGCUGCCUUUUUAAAUUCGUUUUGGCAAAAAUGUCGUUAUCGAGUGCUUUGUCAGUCAAUCAGUGGAAGCAGAUCAGGAUUGACGUUCAGCAGAGCUUGUAUAACUAAACAGUGCAGUUGGAUUUUUACAAGAAGUGCUGAUUGUUGCUUCGUUUCAUUAGUAUACGCAAGUGAAUUUAUUUUUUUUAGCUAGGUGUCUAUGGAAAGUGUUUGCUGUUAUAAUGGUUUUCAGACCUACAUGGUUGGUCCUUAUCUGUAUUGGCAAGUAAAAAUUCGUUGGCAUCACUGAUUACGCCCCCUAUCGAGUCUACACAUUUAGGAAAAUAGUUCCAGAUGAACCAUUACGUGAAACUCAGUACAAAGGGAAAAAGUUGUUAUCAUGCCAAAAACUACCUCUGUCAAAUCAAAAUCGAGCACGACAGACUCUCGCCCACCCUGGAAUCCUUCCACAGCUGUAACCAAUAAAAGUGCCCAGUUACCGAGUCUACCAGGAAAGAAGAGGCAAUUUGCAAACGUCCAAAGCCGAAUACGUUCGGGAAUCGGUAACAGGUCUUCUAACAUGUCGCAAAACGCAUCGAAUAGCUACCGAGAACGCAAUGAUUCGUCCGCCGUUUCUGCCUGUCUUUAUCCAACUGAUCAUCAGUCUCCGUGGCCAGCACCCAAAGAACACAACAAUACUACAACUGGUUCUACCAACCAAGUCCCAGAAGCAAAAACUCCAGCCCGUUGCGUUUGAGGAUACGUGAGUAAAGACAAUGGAAUAUGAAUUAGAAGUCUUACGUGAUUUAAUAGAACCAUCUUGUCACCAGUA